UACGUAGGGUGCGAGCGUUGUCCGGAAUUAUUGGGCGUAAAGGGCUCGUAGGCGGUCUGUUGCGUCAGGAGUGAAAACUCGGGGCUUAACCCCGAGCCUGCUUCUGAUACGGGCAGACUAGAGGUAUGCAGGGGAGAACGGAAUUCCUGGUGUAGCGGUGAAAUGCGCAGAUAUCAGGAGGAACACCGACGGCGUAGGCAGCGCCCUAGACGAGACCUGACGCUCAGGCACGAAAGCGCGGGGAGCGAACAGG
rnacentral:rRNA from 1 species